AUACUUACUUGUCAGGGGAGAGACCAUGAUCAUAAAGGUGGUUUUCAUAGGGAAAUGCUCCUCCAGUGCACUCUGGAUGUGAUGGCCUCUGCCAUUUCCCCAAUGUAGGAAACACAACUGCAUAAUUGUCAUAGUGGGGGACUGUGUUUGCACUCUCUCUUA
ensembl:snRNA U1 U1 spliceosomal RNA